rnacentral:rRNA from 1 species
GACGAACGCUGGCGGCGUGCUUAACACAUGCAAGUCGAACGGAAAGGCCCUGCUUUUGUGGGGUGCUCGAGUGGCGAACGGGUGAGUAACACGUGAGUAACCUGCCCUUGACUUUGGGAUAACUUCAGGAAACUGGGGCUAAUACCGGAUAGGAGCUCCUGCUGCAUGGUGGGGGUUGGAAAGUUUCGGCGGUUGGGGAUGGACUCGCGGCUUAUCAGCUUGUUGGUGGGGUAGUGGCUUACCAAGGCUUUGACGGGUAGCCGGCCUGAGAGGGUGACCGGCAACAUUGGGACUGAGAUACGGCCCAGACUCCUACGGGAGGCAGCAGUGGGGAAUAUUGCACAAUGGGCGGAAGCCUGAUGCAGCAACGCCGCGGGCGGGAUGACGGCCUUCGGGUUGUAAACCGCUUUCGCCUGUGACGAAGCGUGAGUGACGGUAAUGGGUAAAGAAGCACCGGCUAACUACGUG